rnacentral:rRNA from 1 species
UACGUAGGGUGCGAGCGUUGUCCGGAAUUAUUGGGCGUAAAGGGCUCGUAGGCGGUUUGUCGCGUCGGGAGUGAAAACCCAGGGCUUAACCCUGGGCUGGCUUCCGAUACGGGCAGACUAGAGGUAUGCAGGGGAGAACGGAAUUCCUGGUGUAGCGGUGAAAUGCGCAGAUAUCAGGAGGAACACCGGUGGCGAAGGCGGUUCUCUGGGACGGUACUGACGCUGAGACGCGAAAGCGUGGGGAGCGAACAGG